rnacentral:rRNA from 1 species
UGGGGAAUAUUGGACAAUGGGCGAAAGCCUGAUCCAGCCAUGCCGCGUGUGUGAAGAAGGUCUUCGGAUUGUAAAGCACUUUAAGUGGGGAGGAAGGGCAGUAAGCGAAUACCUUGCUGUUUUGACGUUACCGACAGAAUAAGCACCGGCUAACUCUGUGCCAGCAGCCGCGGUAAUACAGAGGGUGCAAGCGUUAAUCGGAAUUACUGGGCGUAAAGCGCGCGUAGGUGGUUCGUUAAGUUGAAUGUGAAAGCCCCGGGCUCAACCUUGGAACUGCAUCCAAAACUGGCGAGCUAGAGUAGGGCAGAGGGUGGUGGAAUUUCCUGUGUAGCGGUGAAAUGCGUAGAUAUAGGAAGGAACACCAGUGGCGAAGGCGACCACCUGGGCUCAUACUGACACUGAGGUGCGAAAGCGUGGGGAGCAAACAGG